rnacentral:rRNA from 1 species
AGUGAACGCUGGCGGUAGGCCUAACACAUGCAAGUCGAACGGCAGCACAGUAAGAGCUUGCUCUUACGGGUGGCGAGUGGCGGACGGGUGAGGAAUACAUCGGAAUCUACUUUUUCGUGGGGGAUAACGUAGGGAAACUUACGCUAAUACCGCAUACGACCUACGGGUGAAAGCAGGGGAUCUUCGGACCUUGCGCGAUUGAAUGAGCCGAUGUCGGAUUAGCUAGUUGGCGGGGUACAGGCCCACCAAGGCGACGAUCCGUAGCUGGUCUGAGAGGAUGGUCAGCCACACUGGAACUGAGACACGGUCCAGACUCCUACGGGAGGCAGCAGUGGGGAAUAUUGGACGAUGGGCGCAAGCCUGAUCCAGCCAUACCGCGUGGGUGAAGAAGGCCUUCGGGUUGUAAAGCCCUUUUGUUGGGAAAGAAAAGCAGCAGGUUAAUACCCCGCUGUUAUGACGGUACCCAAAGAAUAAGCACCGGCUAACUUCGUG